UACGAAGGGGGCUAGCGUUGCUCGGAAUCACUGGGCGUAAAGCGCACGUAGGCGGCUUUUUAAGUCAGGGGUGAAAUCCUGGAGCUCAACUCCAGAACUGCCUUUGAUACUGAGAAGCUUGAGUCCGGGAGAGGUGAGUGGAACUGCGAGUGUAGAGGUGAAAUUCGUAGAUAUUCGCAAGAACACCAGUGGCGAAGGCGGCUCACUGGGACGGUACUGACGCUAAGGCGCGAAAGCGUGGGGAGCGAACAGG
rnacentral:rRNA from 1 species